AUUACUACAAAGUCUUGACAAAAGACAGUACUCCUAUUGUAACACAGAGGAAGGAGGAAGAACUUGGAGAGUGCAUUUGCUCUGUAUCCACCGUGGUGCAUUCGUGGAGACGAGCGCAAACAGGAAGCGUGAAGCCCCUCUCUUCCUGAAGAGAGGCGCAGUGGGACACACACUCCAGGAGUGAGGAAUCAAAAACAGCAAGCUACAGGCUACCACGCAGCAGACGUCAUCAGAGACAGUGAUUCCACUUAGCAUCAUACUGUUACUGUACUACAUAUCUGAAACCUGACUGAUCACCGGUCAUGUCUAUCAGAGCAGACUGUACAGAAUUCCACACGUGGGGUGGUUAUUGAUCUACAGGGGAGGCAGAAUGGCCUACCAGGGGCUGGAUUCCAUCCUGACGGCCACUAUCAGCUUCCAUUCUUUUCCAUCAAAUUGCCUUGUUUGGGAUAGGCUCCAGCACCCCCCACAGCACAGUAGGACAACUAGGACAGCUUAGAUGAUGAGUGAGUGAGUGAGUGAGUGAGUGGUCUCUUUUGCACAUUGCUGUAUUAUAAUUUUGUUUUUCAUGAUGCUUUUGAAUUAAAAUGAAUGAAAAACUACAAUGUAAUGAAUAAAAACAGUUUUUUAUUGAAAAGUAAGUCCUUUCAACAGGACUCCAAGUUACAGAGGACUACAAGAAGGAACUACUUUUAACUGAGAUUUCUAAUCCUCAUUUCUAUUGAAUAAAAUUUGUUUUUUUAAAAAGCCAAAACCUGAAAAAAAAAUUUAAGGGUCAAAAUUUUUAGCAU